rnacentral:rRNA from 1 species
GAUGAACGCUGGCGGCGUGCCUAAUACAUGCAAGUCGAGCGAAGCGGGGACGGGUGAGUAACACGUGGAUAACCUCCUAUAAGACUGGGAUCACUUCGGAAAACCGGAGCUAAACCGGAUCCUUAUAGAUGGAUCCGCGCUGCAUUAGCUAGUUGGUAAGGUAACGGCUUACCAAGGCAACGAUGCAUAACCGACCUUAGAGGGUGAUCGGCCACUCUGGAACUGAAACACGGUCCAGACUCCUACGAGAGGCAGCAGUAGGAAAUCUUCCGCAAUGGUCGAAAGCCUGACGGAGCAAAGCCGCGUGAGUGAUGAAGGUCUUCGGAUCGUAAAGCACUGUUAUUAGAGAAGCGGUACCUAAUCAGAAAGCCACGGCUAACUACGUGCCAGCAGCCGCGGUAAUUC